AGAAUCAACGCUGGCGGCGUGCCUAACACAUGCAAGUCGAACGAGAAAGGGUAGCAAUACCUGAGUACAGUGGCGCACGGGUGAGUAACACGUGACUAACCUACCCUGGAGUGGGGAAUAACUGAGGGAAACCUUAGCUAAUACCGCAUAAUACCUACGGGUCAAAGGAGCAAUUCGCUUCAGGAGGGGGUCGCGGCCGAUUAGUUAGUUGGCGGGGUAAUGGCCCACCAAGACAGUGAUCGGUA
rnacentral:rRNA from 1 species